rnacentral:rRNA from 1 species
UUUUUAGGUCUGGUAAUUGGAAUGAGUACAAUUUAAAUCCCUUAACGAGUAUCCAUUGGAGGGCAAGUCUGGUGCCAGCAGCCGCGGUAAUUCCANCUCCNAUAGCGUAUAUNAAAGUUGCUGCAGUUAAAAAGCUCGNAGUUGGAUUUCUGGGCUCAAGAAUUUGGCCGGCCACGGUUUCGUGUGUUAGAUGCUUUGUUCUGUGUCCAUCCUUCCAAUCGCCGUUGGCUCUUCUUCAUUGAUUGGNCAACGGNAUUGGAUCUUUUACUUUGAAAAAAUUAGAGUGUUUCAAGCAGGCUUUAUGCUAUGAAUACACUAGCAUGGAAUAAUAAUUUAGGACUUCGGUUCUAUUUUGUUGGUUUCUAGGACUGAAGUAAUGAUUGAUAGGGAUAGUUGGGGGUGCUAGUAUUCAGCGGCCANAGGUGAAAUUCUCGGAUUCGCUGAAGACUAACUUAUGCGAAAGCAUUCACCAAGGAUGUCUUCUUUAAUCAAGAACGAAAGUUGGGGGAUCGAAGACGAUCAGAUACCGUCGUAGUCUCAACCAUAAACUAUGCCNACUAGGGAUGAGUGAACGUUGCAUUUUCGACUUCAUUCGCACCUUAUGAGAAAUCAAAGUCUUUGGGUUCCGGGGGGAGUAUGGUCGCAAGGCUGAAACUUAAAGGA